rnacentral:rRNA from 1 species
CAGUAGCCACGGUAAUACGUAGGUCCCGAGCGUUGUCCGGAUUUAUUGGGCGUAAAGCGAGCGCAGGCGGUUAGAUAAGUCUGAAGUUAAAGGCUGUGGCUUAACCAUAGUACGCUUUGGAAACUGUUUAACUUGAGUGCAAGAGGGGAGAGUGGAAUUCCAUGUGUAGCGGUGAAAUGCGUAGAUAUAUGGAGGAACACCGGAGGCGAAAGCGGCUCUCUGGCUUGUAACUGACGCUGGGGCUCGAAAGCGUGGGGCGCAAACAGGAUUAGAUACCCCCGUAGUCCCUGUCUCUUAUACA